ACUCAGCGACUAAACCAGAAAACCCCGCCGCCGGCAGUGUGCCACGAGCCAGGGGCAUUUGGGACAUCUUCAGAAUCUUUCAAGCCACCUACAUUCAAGCCGUCGGGCUAAUUCCGAUAAAGACGACGCCAAAUUUAAGAUCUGACGGAGAUUUCACAUUAACGAUAUGGCCAAAGAGAACAACUCCUCCGCUAUGGAUGUGGACAACCAGAAUUCGGAAUCCGUUGAUCAGAUUAAUAGCCCUAGGUUCUCUAUCAAUGGUAAUUUACUCUCCCAUAAAGCUCUAGACAGCUAAUUUUGAGGUGAUAAUUUAGUUUUUUUUUUUGGUGAAUUUACAGUUUUGCAGCUCUUGAAAUCGGCUCAGAUGCAGCAUGGAUUGCGGUUUGGCGAUUACGCUCGUUACCGGUAUAACCUACGCUUGUACACUUAUGGUAUAUGUUUAUGAGUAAUUUGGUAUGAUGAAGUUCCGGGAAGUAGGUUUAAUUUUUGUAAGAAAUGCCGUUUGAUAUUGUUUUUACCAUUAUAUAAGCGUAAGUGUGCUCUAUAUAGGUGUAUGAGGGAAUUUAUGACAUUGAUCAUUAGAGGUGGCAGGGUUAAAUUUGUGAAAAAUGUGGUGUGAUAGAGUUGUACUAUUGAGGGAAUGUGAAAUUGACCAGUUUUUACAAAUUUUUUAGGAGGUACUGUACUGCUCGGCUCAGGAGAUUGUACAAGUCGUUGAAAUUCACGCAUGGCCGUGGUAAAUAUAGUAAAAGGGCGAUUACAGCUUCUAUGGUCACUGAAGUGAGGUAAUAGAUUGCCAAGACCAAUGGUUGAAUUUGAUUGACAUUACAGUUGGUAAAUAUUUUAAUUUCGCUUUUGCUAUUUGAAGAACAAAUAUGCUGUUUUGUCUCUCAUUAAUAAUUUCUUAAUGGUCGUUAAUCUAUCCUGAUUCUGCGUGGUGGUUGGGGACACUGUAGGUAUCUUCAUGUGGUUCUUUAUACAGGAGAAAGAGCUUGGAGCCAUGCUAUGGAAAAGAAAACGCUGCCAGAUGGUCCAAAUGCACGUCAGCGUGGCUAUCUGAUUGGUAGGCUGCGAAAAGCAGUCAAAUGGGCUACUUUGUUUCAAGACUUGUGUUCCAUUAAGGGAGAUUCUAGGACAUCUUUGGAAGUAGAGGUGUGCUGAUUAAUUCAUCAUUUUGCACAGCUGCUGUGCCCUGUAUACAAAUAAAGCUAUUUUCGGUCAAAAUACAAUAAGAAUAUGCAAAUUAAGGUUCUAUUGGUAAAUAUUAGUUAUAAUCAUACAAAAAGAGAAGAUAGCCCACAAGUUGGGCCCAAUUACAUACAUGUGUUUAUACUAUUAUUAUUAAGCAAAAUCAAAUAGAUAUAUAUAUAUAUAUGUGUGUGUGUGUGUGUGUUUAAAAAAAUGUAUUCACACACAUAAUUAGUGAGAAAUGAAAAUUAUAUAGGUAAAUGCUAUUUAGUAUAUACUACUAAUGCUAUUUAGUGACAAAUGCUAUUUAGUAUAUACUACUAAUGCUAUUUAGUGACAAAUGCUAUUUAGUAUUAGUAUAUACUACUAAUACUUUAUUAUAUUAUAUAGGUAAAUGCUAUUAAUAAUAAUUAGUAUAUGGUAUUAUCAUCAUAUCAUGUACUUAUAAUACUAAUAAUAUAUAAUAAUGUACAAUAUAUUUAUAUUAUUUUAGUAUUUAUUAACUGUUAUAUGACUACAAUAAUGCAUAGUAAUACAUUACAAUAUAAGAUAACUAUAAUAGUUAUUAUUUUAUACAUGAGUAACAUACUAACAUGACUAGAAUUAGAUAAUAAUUAAUACAUAUAUGUAUAAUACUAAAUAUUAAACAAUAAACAUAAUUAGUAAUUAGAAUUUAGAUAUUGGUAAUUUGAUACAUCAUUCAUGUUUGAAUUAUUGAAUAUUUGAAUGCGUAAUCUAUAACUUGCAAGUAUUAGUGUACUCUAAAUUUACAUUACAUAUUCACUAAUCUUAAGGUUUUAAGUAUAGAUAAGACAACUAAGCAGUGUAAGUGAAUGUAUAUGAAUUGCAAAUCAAUGUAUUAGUGUAUUGACUUUCACAAUAACAUAUGUAAGUAAAUAAGUUUAAUUUUGAUUUGAAAUAAAUUAUAAGUUUGUAACUAACAUAACUUAUCACUAAUCAUUGUAAUUUGUAAGUUUGUAACUAAUAUUACUUAUUAUUAAUCAUUGUAAAUUAUAAAUUCAUAAAUUAUCACUAAUCAUUGUACAGUCUAAGGUUUAUUCUAGUUUAAAUUAAUCACUUUUUAUGUGUUCCUUAAAUCAUAGACUAAGGAUUGUAGGUAUAAGUGAUCAAAUAAGUUAAAAUUCAUAUUAUCUAUUUACUAAUCUUAAGGCUUUAAGUAUAGACAAAAUAACUAAGCUGUGUAAGUGAAUGCAUGUGAGUUGCAAAUCAAGUAAAUAAGUUUUAUUUUGAUUUGAAAUAAAUUAUAAGUUUGUAACUAAUGUAACUUAUCACUAAUCAUUGAUUCAUUGUAAUUUAUAAGUUUGUAACUAAUAUUACUUAUUAUUAAUCAUUGUAAAUUAUAAAUUCAUUGUAACUACUAACUAAAUUAGUUUAAAUUAAUCACUUUUUAUGUGUUUCUUAAAUCAUAGACCAAGGAUUUUAGGUAUAAGUGAUCAAAUAAAUGCCAAUUAAACCACAAAAUGAUUUGAACAUAAGUAAUGUGUUCAAUUAUGAAUAAAUUUGGGGAUCAAAUCAGUAAUAAUUUUUAAAUCAUUGAGGAGCAUAAUGAAUGUAUUAUAAUUUAGGAGCCCCAAUUUAUAAAUUAAAAAUUACAAAAUCACUUCAUUUGGGAAGAGUCGGAUUUCAUCUUCAGCUGAUGACAAGUGAGAAAACAACCAUUGCAAAUUUGCAAUAUUGCAUGGUGCCGUGACUGCCGUCACCUAGGGCUUUCACAGCACUAACACUCCCAAGUCCCAAUUCCCAAAUCGAAGCUGCUCUCCGCCUCUCCGGCCUCCGCCAGUCCGCCGCGCUCUACGCCUCCUGUCGGCUGUGUCCUGCCGUGCUGGUUCAUCGCUGCCGAGUGUCGAAGACGAAGCACCAAGAUCUCACUGGUUCAUCGCUGGUUCAUCACUGCUCAUCUCUGGCUCGCUUAGGUAAGUGCUCCUCUGUUUUUGGCUCUGUGUAUCUGGCAUUAAAAUGGGCCAAGAUCGACUAGGAAAUUUGUUAUCCUGAAUUGAUAAGGGGACGAAAUCUGAGCUUCGAAUUGCAAACUCUAACUGUUGUAGUAGUUUAGAUUAGGUGUGAUAUAACAUAAGCUUUGUAUUUUAUACACAAGAAAGCUCUCUCCAGUUGUGCAGCCUUUAAAAGUUAAGGCCUUGGGGAAAAAUUCCACCUUUUACCCGUUAGAAAAAUUAAAAAGGAAAAAACUUGCUAAAAUGAAAAUUUUACCUCCUUGUCCGUGGAGAUUCUCAAUCUCUGGUGCACAUCUAGUGAAAGUACGGCUCCAGAAGUUGUACCUAGGAUUCUGGAUAUGAAUUUUCUGCAAUGUGUAAAAGAAGAAACAUCUAUGUAUAAAUAAGCAGAAAGGUCACCUUAAUAAGCUCAAUAAAAGUAAUCAGCUCCUGAAUAAGUAAUGGAAAGCAUUGGAGCAAGUCUAGAACAUAUCGAAGAGAGCAAUUUAGCUUUUAUAACUACAAACCAGUAGAAGGCCUACAUAUGUCUAGCUUCUUUACAUAUUUUCAGUCUAAUAUUUGUAGCUUUCUCAUGGCUUGCGGGGGUUGGUAGUUGCUGAACUAUAAAGAUUGGUUUUAUAUAUUCUCUUAAUUUGCUUCAGGGUUAUUUUGUAACUACUUGAACUCAUUAAUUUGUAGUAGCUUCUAGUUAUUUUACAAAUUACAACUACGCAGUAUAGAUUUUAUUACCCUACUGUGGCUUAGGAACUAUGAUAUGAGGAAUUAGAAUCAUCCAUUUUUUGCUGCUCUUGUGGGCACCACUAGUUGGUGGGUAAUUGCUGAAUUUGAAAGUUUCAUGUCAAGCAAUCCAGCUUGCCUUUGAAUCUUCCCAAAAAGCCACCUUUGAUCUCAUUUUUUGGUCAAAUCGAGUCAAAAAGCUUGAUAAGACUCGACUCGAUAAGGCUUGACUAAAGGUCGAGCCUUAUCGAGUCGAGUCUCGAGCCUAAAGGAAAUUCUUCGAGUCGAGCUUCGAGUAUCCAUUUUUUAGACUCGAUCGAGCUCGAGUUUCUGUGUAUAUAUGAGUCGAGUCGAGAGAUACUCGAGUAUAGCGAUACUCGAGCUCGACUCGGCUCGAUUAUAUCCUUAUGACAUUAAACAGUAGACAACGCAGAGGAGACUAGGAUUUUUAUGUCGAGACCAAACAGGCUUCAUUUACGUUCACUCAGCGACUAAACCAGAAAACCCCGCCGCCGGCAGUGUGCCACAAGCCAGGGGCAUUUUGGACAUCUUCAGAAUCUUUCAAGCCACCUACAUUCAAGCUGUCGGGCUAAUUCCGAUAAAGACGACGCCAAAUUUAAGAUCUGACGGAGAUUUCACAUUAACGAUAUGGCCAAAGAGAACAACUCCUCCGCUAUGGAUGUGGACAACCAGAAUUCGGAAUCCGUUGAUCAGAUUAAUAGCCCUAGGUUCUCUAUC
rnacentral:lncRNA from 1 species